rnacentral:lncRNA from 1 species
UGAUAUAAAUGGAAAACAAACACACCACAAAAAGCUUAUCACAAACUGCAUUAAUGGAAUAUGCAUGCAUGCAUAAUAAUACAUAACCUAAUGAACAUAGAUAAUACAUAGAUAGCUGGUUACAGAGAAAAGAUGACCUAGCUAAUUGCAAAAUAACAUAGCCCAGAAUGGAAGACACACGCAUAAUAUAACUAAUACGGGUACAUGACAUUUUUUUAGAUGAUGCAUAGUAGUAUUACCAUGGUUUUAAAUUACGUUCCGCAACUGCAAUUAUGACCGUAACGUCAAGUAUUUUAAUACUCCGCAAUCAUAUCAUGACUGCAAUUUCGAUCGCAUUUGCUGCAUUUUCCCACAAUGUAAAGGUUUCUUUGCUUCAUCACAACUGCAAUUUAAAACUAUGAAUAUUACUAAUUAAUUGUUAGCAUGUUAAUGGCCUACUCCAGGACUGUGGCCAGGAGUUGUGGGCCUAAAAGCUUCAACAUCUCCGGAUAGGCUUCUAAUGCUACGGUAGCUUGGGAUGGCAUUAGCACUUUUUGUUGCAAUGCUCAUUGCUUUGGUAGCAUCUGGUGAUUGAAUGGUUAUUUGUCUCAAAUUCCUUCCCUCACUACCGAGUAGUUCAUGGGACAGAAAGAGGAGUACAAAGAGCAAGACAAAGUGAGUGAGACGUGCCAUGUGGGAGAAUGAGAAAGAAAAGAACUCAGCUAAAAGAAAACUGAGUUCAAGGGUUAAAGGUGGCACGGGGGUGGAAAAGAUGGGUGUUUGAGGAAGGAUCUGAA